ACUAAAACCCUAACUACUUAAACUCAGCAUCUUCACUCAAAUCUCCUUACUUCUUUCGCUUCUCUCACUCUCACCAGUUGCCUCCACCACUACUCAGUACUCACCGUCGAACCACCUCCAUCACCACCUCUCCAUCGAGAGCACUACCACCUCUAAAAGACUGAGAGGAGCAGCAGGAGUUCUUCAUCUGUAUAGUUGCGUUAAGACUUUGAGGAGCAGGGGACUGCCACCGGAUACAGCUGUAUUGUCAGAGAAGUCGAUACCAAUGAUGGGAAGAUUAAAGUUGUAGUUGUUGUUGCUGCUGCCUUUGAACCUGAAACGAUACAGGUGCAUGAACUCGAAGGGCUGUGCUGGGAGCAAGCGUUAAACACGGGCUUAAGUGCAUCAAGGUAACUUGCUAUUGUACUUCAGCAAUUUAUCAAGUUAAAAAGGAAUUAGCCGUGAAGAGAAAAAUAGGAAAGAACAAUAAGUAUUCAAGGCACAUGAAAGAUUUGAUUAAUCGUAUUAUUAUACUAGAUUCAGAAGUAGACUAUUCUGAGAUAGUGCAUAUGUAUUGAGGUGCCAAAGAGGUGGACAACGGAUUCUAUACAUAUGCAUUAUCUCAGAAUAGUCUACUUCUGAAUCUAGUCUAAUUCAUGUGCCUUGAGUACUUAUUGUUCUUUCCUAUUUUUUUUUCACGACUAAUCCCUUUUUUACUUGAUAAAUUGCUGAAUUACAAUCGCUAGUUACCUUGAUGCGCUUAAGCCCGUGUUUAACAGCUUGUUCCCAACCACAGCACAGCCCUUCGAGUUCAUGCACCUGUGUCGUUUCACAUAAGAUUUUGAAAUGAAUGGGGAACUGAUACAUUUAGGGGGAUUUCUCAUAACUGAUGCGGAUGGCACACCCUACAAUCCAGAAGGAAUUUGAUUUUGAAUCUGCUCAUACUCAAAUAGAACCAGCUACAAACUUGCAAGAAUGAGUCGGAUUCACAGAAACCUCUGGGUUGUCAACUGUAAUAGUCUGUAAAUAGUAAUCGCUAACUCUCUUUUUGUGAAACCCCUUUCUGGGUUCUAGCUUAUAGAUCUUGGUUUCUCUUCGGGGGUGAUUUCCUCGUGGUCCACAGAAAUGCUACAUUAAGACUAGAUUUCAAAGCACAAUUCUGUUGAAUCCAAAAAUCUUUUUAACUAUAAUCCUUUGGAAAUUUUAAACUGGUGAUAUAAUCUCUUUCUUAAUUUUUCUUCUUGUUUUUAUCAGCUCUGGUAUUUUCAUGAUUUAAAAUUUUGUUCAAGGAUGGCGAGGCACUAACCCUUGUUUUUGCAGUGUAACCUUGUUUUGUGAUAGUGGUGCUUUUCAUCCUAAACUAUUAGAUCCGAAAUCUAAGCAAUUCGCGCAUAUUCUCAGGAAUAAAAUAGAAUAAAAAUCAAAAGGACCAUUUAGGGAUAUCUUGUCUGCAAUCUCCCAAUCCCAAAUAUCAAACAUUCAAAAACUCGGAAAUGGUCAUCUCCCUAGGAAUUAAACCAAAACCAUUACUACUUACCAUUUAUCCCCUAAUAGCAGAAGAGAAAGUUCAAAUGGCUGCUAAUGGAAAUCACUCGGAUGAAGGUCAAAGGAACGCUGCAAAUAAGUUGACUAAAACCGGACCUGGAGGUGAUCGUGGCAGAGGUUCAACUUGACCAGCUGCUGCUUCUACUAUCACCGCUGCAUCAAGAGGAGGUCAUGACAGGUGGGUUUAGAGGAGGUCGUGGCAGAGCUG